rnacentral:rRNA from 1 species
AUUGAACGCUGGCGGCAUGCCUAACACAUGCAAGUCGAACGGUAACGCGGGGGCAACCCUGGCGACGAGUGGCGGACGGGUGAGUAAUACGUAGGAAUCUGCCCAUUUGUGGGGGAUAACCCGGCGAAAGCCGGGCUAAUACCGCAUACGCUCUCCGGAGGAAAGCAGGGGAUCGUAAGACCUUGCGCUAAUGGAUGAGCCUACGUCGGAUUAGCUAGUGGGUAGGGUAACGGCCUACCAAGGCGACGAUCCGUAGCUGGUCUGAGAGGACGAUCAGCCACACUGGGACUGGGACACGGCCCAGACUCCUACGGGAGGCAGCAGUGGGGAAUAUUGGACAAUGGGGGCAACCCUGAUCCAGCAAUGCCGCGUGUGUGAAGAAGGCCUGCGGGUUGUAAAGCACUUUCAGAGGGGAAGAAAAAAUUGGAGCUAACACCUCCGAUCUUGACGUUACCCUUAGAAGAAGCACCGGCUAACUCCGUGCCAGCCGCCGCGGUAAGAC